UUGUUUAUAUAGAUAAAGCGUGCUUGAUAAUAUACGUAUAUAUAUAUUUUAUAAAUAUAAUUUUUCACGACGUUUUCUGUAAGUUGUAAAAAAGUCCUUUAAUGUUUCAUUCUUGUGUAUGCCAUGAAAGAAUAAAUUAUCCGCAAGAACA